rnacentral:lncRNA from 1 species
AACUCUGUGGGAGUUUAUUUUUGUGUAAAUACAUCAUCAAACAGCCCCUAAUUCAGUCCCAAGCUACAGUAUAUAAGAUGAGCCGCUGCCACACUUUGACAAGUUCAUCAGCUGGUAACAAACCUGCUCACAGCUCAGAUCUAGACUCAGAUUUGGUGCCUUUCAGCGUCUCAACAUGUGUUCGAGUCUCUCCACCAGCCGCCUGAUUCUUCUGAUCUCCCUGAGUGUGAUGAUGCUCAUCUUUGUAUCAGGGGCUGACCACGUGGGACAAACCUGCUAUAAAACAUAUUCUAACAGUGGUGUAAUAAACACGUCUACACCUAAAUGGGCAAAAAACAUCAUCAGCUGCUUUGAAGAUGACAGACGUGGCUGCCUACAUGGCUAUGAGGUCAAAACACGUGCAGAAAGAACAUUUUUCCUCAGACCAAACACCCAGUGGAUAAAAAGGAAAAUAAAUGAGGGAACUCUGCUGUGUCCUCCAAUGAUUUCUAAAUGAUGAUGAUGGAAACGAUGAAGUAAAGUUGACGUAAAGCAGCAACUGGAACCAUUUCUGCUGUUUUAUUUGUUCAAACUUUUACAGAAAUAUUUGUUAAGAAAUGUUGAUUAUUUUUGUAAAUUGUUCAUAUGACUUGAGUCUUAUAUAUUAUAUUUAUUAAAAAUGUCAUUAAAUAUGAAUGUUUGACCGUUUUUAUUCUGUCUUCAAUCUGAGAAGAAAGAUAAACAAUAAAAGCCUUUAAAAUCAGAUUUAUAAUGGUGUGUGUCAUUAUUUAGUAUUUGCUGUAACAACAUAUUCUCAUGAUGAUGUCACAUUCACAGGACACCGGGAGGCUGUGUUUAACACAGAUGGCAGAAGUAAAAGUAAAUAUUCA